rnacentral:rRNA from 1 species
AUCCGGGCUACACGCGGGCUACAAGUGGUCAAGGACAAUGGGUAUCGACACCGAGAGGUGGAGGCAAUCUACCUAAACCUGUCCUUAGUUCGGAUUGUGGGCUGCAACUCGCCCACAUGAAGCUGGAAUCCGUAGUAAUCGCGUUUCAAAAUAGCGCGGUGAAUAUGUCCCUGCUCCGUU